rnacentral:rRNA from 1 species
UGGGGAAUAUUGGGCAAUGGGGGAAACCCUGACCCAGCAACGCCGCGUGAAGGAAGAAGGCUUUCGGGUUGUAAACUUCUUUUACCAGGGACGAAGGACGUGACGGUACCUGGAGAAAAAGCUCCGGCUAACUGCGUGCCAGCAGCCGCGGUAAUACGUAGGGAGCGAGCGUUGUCCGGAUUUACUGGGUGUAAAGGGCGUGUAGGCGGAGGAGCAAGUCAGAAGUGAAAUCUCCGGGCUUAACCCGGAAACUGCUUUUGAAACUGUUCCCCUUGAGUACUGGAGAGGCAGGCGGAAUUCCUAGUGUAGCGGUGAAAUGCGUAGAUAUUAGGAGGAACACCAGUGGCGAAGGCGGCCUGCUGGACAGCAACUGACGCUGAGGCGCGAAAGCGUGGGGAGCAAACAGGAUUAGAUACCC